CGAACGGGUGAGUAACACGUGAGCAACCUGCCCCAAGCUUUGGGAUAACCCUCGGAAACGGGGGCUAAUACCGAAUAGGACUGCUGGCCGCAUGGCUGGUGGUGGAAAGUUUUUCGGCUUGGGAUGGGCUCGCGGCCUAUCAGCUUGUUGGUGGGGUGAUGGCCUACCAAGGCGACGACGGGUAGCCGGCCUGAGAGGGCGACCGGCCACACUGGGACUGAGACACGGCCCAGACUCCUACGGGAGGCAGCAGUGGGGAAUAUUGCACAAUGGGCGGAAGCCUGAUGCAGCGACGCCGCGUGAGGGAUGACGGCCUUCGGGUUGUAAACCUCUUUCAGCAGGGACGAAGCGAGAGUGACGGUACCUGCAGAAGAAGCACCGGCCAACUACGUGCCAGCAGCCGCGGUAAGACGUAGGGUGCGAGCGUUGUCCGGAUUUAUUGGGCGUAAAGAGCUCGUAGGCGGCUUGUCGCGUCGACCGUGAAAACUUGGGGCUCAACCCCAAGCCUGCGGUCGAUACGGGCAGGCUAGAGUUCGGUAGGGGAGACUGGAAUUCCUGGUGUAGCGGUGAAAUGCGCAGAUAUCAGGAGGAACACCGGUGGCGAAGGCGGGUCUCUGGG
rnacentral:rRNA from 1 species